rnacentral:rRNA from 1 species
GACGAACGCUGGCGGCGUGCUUAACACAUGCAAGUCGAACGGAAAGGCCCUGCUUUUGUGGGGUGCUCGAGUUGCGAACGGGUGAGUAACACGUGAGUAACCUGCCCUUGACUUUGGGAUAACUUCAGGAAACUGGGGCUAAUACCGGAUAGGAGCUCCUGCUGCAUGGUGGGGGUUGGAAAGUUUCGGCGGUUGGGGAUGGACUCGCGGCUUAUCAGCUUGUUGGUGGGGUAGUGGCUUACCAAGGCUUUGACGGGUAGCCGGCCUGAGAGGGUGACCGGCCACAUUGGGACUGAGAUACGGCCCAGACACCUACGGGCGGGAGCAGGGGGGAAUAUUGCACAAUGGGCGGAAGCCUGAUGCAGCAACGCCGCGUGCGGGAUGACGGCAUUCGGGUUGUAAACAGCUUUCGCCUGUGACGAAGCGUGAGUGACGGUAAUGGGGAAAGAAGCACCGGCUAACUACGU